rnacentral:rRNA from 1 species
CUACGUGCCAGCAGCCGCGGUAAUACGGAAGGUCCGGGCGUUAUCCGGAUUUAUUGGGUUUAAAGGGAGCGUAGGCUGGAGAUUAAGUGUGUUGUGAAAUGUAGACGCUCAACGUCUGACUUGCAGCGCAUACUGGUUUCCUUGAGUACGCACAACGUUGGCGGAAUUCGUCGUGUAGCGGUGAAAUGCUUAGAUAUGACGAAGAACUCCGAUUGCGAAGGCAGCUGACGGGAGCGCAACUGACGCUGAAGCUCGAAGGUGCGGGUAUCGAACAGGAUUAGAUACCCUGGUAGUCCGCACAGUAAACGAUGGAUGCCCGCUGUUGGUACCUGGUAUCAGCGGCUAAGCGAAAGCAUUAAGCAUCCCACCUGGGGAGUACGCCGGCAACGGUGAAACUCAAAGGAAUUGACGGGGGCCCGCACAAGCGGAGGAACAUGUGGUUUAAUUCGAAGCAACGCGAAGAACCUUACCUAAACUUGACAUACCAAUGACAGCCUU